CGCCGGCGAGGCUGCGCACCGACAGCGUGUCGUCUACGUCUUCGCAGCCCCGCGGAUCGAUGCUGAACACCACGUGAGUCUGCCGGAGGUCCCGUCGCUCUGCUACCUGGGCGGGAUCCAUCCUCCACGGCCUCUCAGGCUUCUGUGUUGGGAUCCGAGUGCAGAAACACCCAGUGGAAGAGCUGGUGACCAGUCUGUAUUGAGUACAUGAAUACAGAUGUUAGCUGAAGCGUUAACUGAUGUCAGCAGCCUGAUCACCUGCAUC